UUGAAUUUUAAUGAAGAGUUUGGUUGUAGCUGGCCCAUUCAUUUGGGCAUGUGCACACCUUCCUCUUUCAUCCCACACACACCUGUGAACCUGUGAGACAGAGAUGGGGAAUUUACUUGCUGCUAUUUGGAAUACAAAGGCAAUAGGUUAUUGGACCCCCCCUCUGUCUACUCAAUUAAUAUAAACUCAAUUUAUUUUAAAACGAAUGUAAUGGAUGUAACACAUCUCAUAC
rnacentral:misc_RNA from 1 species